GGGCUUGCCCUGGAAAAAGGAGAGAGUGACCUCUUCCCAUCUGGAGUAGAUGGAUUCACCACCACCAAUUGCAAAUGGGAGACUUAAUAUUGGGGUUUGCACUUAAAAAUUUAAUUCUGUGGUUUCAUUGCCUUUCAGGAAUUCUGUGUGCUCUUUUCCAAACUGGUAAGUUGCAGUUGUACCACAGACAUUUAUUUAAUGAAUUUUUCUCUCAGCCUUGGACCCCUGUCUGCAGAGAGCUGAGCUGCUGAGUUCCAAAGCUCCUUGCCCAGGACCAGCCCUCUCGGGCUCUCCCUCCCUCAUGGCCAGAGUGGAAAAGCACGUUUAAAUCCCGAGCUCGCCUUUCCCACGUGGUGCCUCGCUGAGCCGCUGUCACAGCCACGCCGCGCUCUCACAGGGCACCGGAGCCUCCCCCUGCCCUGCCGGGGAGGAACAAGGGCGCCCCAUGGAUUAUAAGAGAUGGGUCUCUUGUUCUCGUCCCCGAGCAUCCUUCCCGCAGCGCUCCGUCCAUCCCUGCCCGGCUCCCUGCGCUCUGCCCCGCCUGGAGCCGCAGCCGGCUCCGGCAGCCGAUCCAGUCCGCGUUUGUAGCCAGGGAAAGGCUGGGUAAUGAUAACUUGUGUGUGCGAGCUGAGCCGAGGCAGCGCUGACUUUAGUCCGGUUUCCAUGUCAACGAUUCAGUCCAUAUUUGCCAUCACACAGUUGGCAGA